GACGAACGCUGGCGGCGUGCUUAACACAUGCAAGUCGAGCGGUAAGGCCCUUUCGGGGGUACACGAGCGGCGAACGGGUGAGUAACACGUGGGUGACCUGCCUCUAGCUCUGGGAUAAGCCUGGGAAACUGGGUCUAAUACCGGAUACGACUCCGCGGUGCAUGCUGUGGGGUGGAAAGCCUUGUGCGGCUGGAGAUGGGCCCGCGGCCUAUCAGCUUGUUGGUGGGGUGAUGGCCACCAAGGCGACGACGGGUAGCCGGCCUGAGAGGGCGACCGGCCACACUGGGACUGAGACACGGCCCAGACUCCUACGGGAGGCAGCAGUGGGGAAUAUUGCGCAAUGGACGGAAGUCUGACGCAGCAACGCCGCGUGAGGGAUGACGGCCU
rnacentral:rRNA from 1 species